UUUUAUACGACCAAAAAAUUUUUUUGCGGUUGUAUAUUGGUAUGACGUUGGCGUCGUCCAAAGACACAUUGGUUUUUGCACAAUAACUUUAGUUUAAGUGAAUGGAUCUCUAUGAAAUUUUACCAUAAGGUUCAAUACCACAAAAGGAAGGUUGGGAUUGAUUUUGGGGGUUAUGGUACCAACAGUUAAGGAAUUAGGGGCCAAAAAUAAGCAUUUUUGUAACUUCCAGACAUAACUUGUGUGUUAGUGUAUGGAUCUCUCUGACAUUGUACCACAAGGUUCCAUAUCACAAAAGGGAAUGCUGGGAUUGAUUUUGGGGGUAAUUGCCUCCAAAUUUUAGGAAUUAGGGGCCAAAAAGGGGCAAAAAACAAGCAUUUUUCUAGUUUCAUGACAAUAACUUGUGUGUAAGGGUAUGGAUCUUUAUGAAAUUGUACUACAAGGUUCCAUAUCACAAAGGGAAAGCUGGAAUUGAGUUUGGGGGUAAUUGACCUAAAUGCUUAGGAAGAAGGGACCAAAAAAGGGCCAAAAAUAAGCAUUUUUCUAGUUUCCAGACAAUAACUUGUAUUCAAGUGUAUGGAUCUCUCUGAAAUUGUACUGCAAGGUACCAUACCACAAAGGAAGGCUGGGAUUGAUUUUGGGGGUAAUUCCCUCAAAAUUUUAGGAAUGAGGGGCCAUAAAAGGGCAAAAAAACCAGCAUUUUUCUAGUUUCAGGACAAUAACUUGUGUGUAAGUGUAUGGAUCUUUAUGAAAUUGUACUGCAAGGUUCCAUAUCACAAAGGGAAGGCUGGGUUUGAGUUUGGGGGUGAUUGCCCUAAACAUUUAGGAAUUUGGGGCCAAAAAGGGACCAAAAAACAAGCAUUUUUCUAGUUUCCAGACAAUUACUUGUGUUCAAGUGUAUGGAUCUCUCUGAAAUUGUUCUGCAAGGUACCAUACCACAAAGGGAAGGCUGAGAUUGAGUUUGGGGGUGAUGAAUCAUAAGGGGGUUCACAAAA